GGAAAGGGAAAGGGAAAGGAGGUGCACAGAGAUAAAACGCAAUGAAAUGCCUCAGGCAGCACAGCAUAUCGUUUGCACAGGCAGGUCAUUAGGAAAAAAGAAAAUACUAUAUAUGUAUAUAAGGUGAGAACUCAGACAGGCUUCAGUGACCGUGAGAGCUUCCCUCUCCAUGGCGUGACAUACAGGGUGGUUAUUCCAGGACGCGGAGGGAGUGAAGUUGUGAAUAAACGAUGCUCUGGAGCCAAGUGACAGGUUGACGGCGUAACAUCCCGCAGACAGACAACACAACUUGCUGAACGCCGUCCAACACGGCCACUUCGGGAUGACGAGGGACAGAAAAGCCCUGGGAACAGCAUCUCCCCCCCACAGGAACCAUCUCCCACCACAACCCCCAGAGGACCUGCAGCCGCUGGGCCUCAGGACCACCCCGCCCAGGACACCAGGACGGGCUCUCCGCCUCGCCGGGGAGCGGCAAUGGCGAAAAUAAAGGGAAAAUAAAUGAAUACAGGGGCCGGAGGACGGCGGCGAAGCGACCCGGCCGCCACCGGGCCCAGCCGGCCCCCGCCCGCCGCCGCGGCCCAGCCGGGCCAGGCCCCGGGCCCCGCUCCCCGCCCGCCGCCGCCCGCCCUCGGGCCCCGGCCCAGCCCGCGCCCGGGCCCCCCUCACCUGCUCGGCCGCUCCGCGGCGAACUCGGCCCCGCCGGACUCCGCCAUGUUCGCUGAGCUGGGAGGCGGCGGCAGCCGCCGCGUUAAAGGCGCAGGAGCGAGCGCGGCCCGCGGCGGGAACCGGGGAGCUGCUCCGCGCCCGCCGGGCCUGGCGCCGCCCCGCCGCCACCGGGGCCCUCACCCGGUCGCCGCCCCGGGGCAUGGCGGCUGUCGCUGCCCAACGGCCCCGGGGGCGCUGAGGGGGGUCUGUCACCUCCCCGCGGCGGAGGGGACCCGGGGGAUGUCACCAUCUGAUAGAUGUGGAGCCCUAAAUCUGUCACCUCCCCACGGCCACAGGGUCGCUGAGGGUUGUCACUGCCCCAUGGCUGAGAGGAUUUGGCGUCUGUCCCCAUCCCUUGGCUGAGGGAUCCCGGGGGCUGUAACCUCCCCAUGGUGGAGGGGACCUGGGGGGUGUCAUCACCCAGCUGAGGGGACCCCAGGGCUGUCACCUCCCCAUGACUGUGACUGCCCCACGGCUGAGGGGGCAUGUCAUAGAUGUCUGUCCCCAUCCCCUGGCUGAGGGGUGCCCGUGUCUGUCACCUCCCCAUGGCUGAGGGGAUCUGCGCAGGUCUGUCACUGCCUCAUGGCUCAGAGGUCCCCGGGGUCUGUCACCUCCCCACAGCUGUGACUGCCCCACGGCUGAGAGGUCCAGGGGGUUGUCACCAUCUGAUGUAGAGCCCUGGGGUCUGUCACCUCCCCACGGCCACAGGGUGGCUGAGGGUUGUCACUCCCCCAUGGCUGCGAGGAUUUGAGGUCUGUCCCCAUCCCUUGGCUGAGGGGUCCCGGGGGCUGUCACCACCCCACAGGCCACCAUGGGCCUCUUCACGCCAUCACUCUCCAGCUGACCAUCAUCCAGCACCAGCCAAUGGCCCCCGCCCGUGUCCCGCACCCGAACACUUGAUUUUCCCCUCAGGAUUCCAUAUGUGACUCAUUAAUUGUUUCCUGCAGGGACGACCAUGUGUGCAACCAGCCCGGGACUGUGGGGACAACCCUGCUCCUCAUCACCCUGGGGACAACGGCUCCUGCCACACCAUCCGGACCAUUAUGGACCAGGUUUUAUUGCCACAAACGCUUUGUGCAAGAGCAGCAGUACCCUCCAGAGGGUGCAGUCUUGUCGUCAGUCCUCCGGCUGCACCCUCUCGGUGCCAAAGAUGCCUUCGCUGUGUCCCCGUUCAUGGUCGGCAUCGGAGUCGCUCCCGGCUCUCCCCAAAGCGACCGGCGGAGCCGAGGCCAGAGCAUCGCGGGGUCC